AUACGGAGGGUGCAAGCGUUACUCGGAAUCACUGGGCGUAAAGCGCGCGCAGGCGGCCAUUUAAGUUGGAUGUGAAAGCCUACGGCUCAACCGUAGAACUGCGUCCAAAACUAUUUGGCUAGAGUGUGGGAGAGGAAGAUGGAAUUAGUUGUGUAGGGGUAAAAUCCGUAGAGAUAACUAGGAAUACCAAAAGCGAAGGCAAUCUUCUGGAACACUACUGACGCUGAGGCGCGAAAGCGUGGGGAGCAAACGGGAUUAGAAACCCUAGUAGUCC
rnacentral:rRNA from 1 species